GCACACAACUUUUAAAUCAUGUUAUAUAGGACAAUUUCAUAAACUGGAAACCAAUGUACAUCUUGCCUUUAUAUUAUGAAUGGCAUUUUAGCUUAUGGAAGGCUGACCCCUUUUUUUCAUGCUCACUCGUUAUUCAGUCCAGUGUCUCAAUUUGUAAGAGGUUGCAAUUGUGACUUACACAAGCAGGAGAAAAAAACGUGGAAACAGAGGCAAGCAAGUAGGAUGGUAGAAGUAGGACACAGGUGUAAGUUAAUUCAUCACUAUCUGACAUGUAGAAUCCAAUGUGUGUGUAUUAUGUACAUCCUUUUUGCUUGGAUUUCAUCUAAGAUGCUACAGUAUGACCCCAUAUUAAUGAGAUGAUUAUCCACAGUUUUAUUUAUCCAUGUCCAAUAAAUUAUGUCCUCUGAAAAUGGGAAAUAAAGGGAAGCAUAAACUGUUGCCUCUCUUGGAAAAGAUAAAUUCUCUGUUAGUACUGGCUUAAAAGAACACAAUUUAAUCCUCUGUGUCAUAGCAGACCGACUGCCUCAAAGGAGAUGUGAGCUGGAGGCCCAUACUAGAGACUACUCUCUGCCCAGCAAGAGAUGAUAAAACAUGCUGAGCUUGUCAUCACUACAAAACCAGUCAAGAGCAGAAGUAAUGAAUGAUGGAUAUUCAGUUGCAGGGUUGGGGAGCUCUCCUCCAGUCUGCAGCUUUACCACUCACUCUUUACAGAUCUUAACCUGUUUCAGUGAAGGGUUUUCAAAAGCCUAACAGCAUGCAGACCCCAGAAGGUUCCCCAUUUCAACCUUCUGGAGGCUGAAAGCUUGACACUGCUUUGAGCCUGAGUCCAUUUGAAUCACACACUAACAUGAGAUAUAAAUAAGUAACACUAUUGCCAAGAUGCAUCAGAAUGUUGAUACAGAAUAUUUGUCACACAUUCACAUUAAAUAAACCAGGGAGCAACCCAUAUGGAAGUGCAUGUUGUCUUGAUCCUGCAUGCACCUGCAUUUAUUUUUAUCUGCAAAAUUGGAUUGUAUGAUAAGAUUUGAUUUGCUCCAUGCAGAUGAAAGCUGCACUUCAGAGAAAAUGGAAGGGAAUUCUAAAAGUUCUAAACGAAAUAUAUUUUUAAAAAACCAUCCGCUUACACAAAUAACAGAGGGGGAAAAGGGAUGGAGAAUCUGCUAUGAAGGUAAACUCCAAAUGCAGUGCUUGCUUGUUUUAAAAUCUCUUGUCACUUCAGUUCCUAUUUUCCUCCAGAUUGACAGGAUGAAUUUCCCCCUAAAUGGGUUCUUUCUGGCAAUACAAAAAAGAUUAUUCUCUCCCCACACUUGUCUCUUGCGAUCUUCCUGUGAUAGUAAAGUGCUAUCUCCAUCUCUCCAUGAGUUACGUAUCUACCUGGUGUUUAUUUCAAACACCUUUAGUUCUGCUGAUCAGACGAUUCCCCAUUGCCUGUCAAUCUUCCUCGGGUUUUAAUGACUGGAGUUUUUUUUUUUUGUAGGUAUGUCAGUGUGCAUAGGUUUUCUAUAAAUUGUGUGGCCUAAUUAUUGAUUUGGUUUGCGGAUGAUUAGGACAUCUAGUCACCUGCAUCAUCAUUCCUUUCUUUAGGACAGGAAAAGAAACUGAAUAACCUUUUAAUAAGAACAUAGGUCUUUCAUGCCUUGUGGAUAUUUUCCUGCUCUUCACUAAGCUGAGGUAGUGAGCAGCCAACUAUUUGUUUUGUUUUCUAACAAGUACAGUAUGUUCACUAUAUCCAUGAGAUAUAUGUUUGUAGACUUUGUAUGGAUACAUGAAACCACAAAUAAUGAAGGCUAUCCAGCCCAAGAGUAUAGGCUCACACUGGAGGACUUAGAAAAUGCAUUGAAAGGGUGUAUUUUGUUUAGAGUUGAUAAAUGAAACAGCACAUACUGGUCAAGUGGAUAUGGAAGUUGUAUUGUAUAAAGCUUUACAUUUCACACAUUUACACUCAAGUACCAGUUGGACAUCUAUCUUUCUAAAUAGAAUAGGAAAUAAUAAAUAUUGCUGUUAUAAAUAUAAUCCAUGCCCAACUAAGAUACAUUGGUUGGGGAUAUGUAUAUUAUGGAUGACAAUUUUAAAAAUGAAUCAAUGAAGGAAGCAUCGGUUAUUGUUUUCAUUCACCAACCAUUUGUUCAUUAUCUGUGAUUUGGGAUCUUUUUAUCAUUUGAAAGGCUUGAUACUUAGAGAAGCAAUACUGAUGGGCCAUCAUAGAGUAUGCAGCCAAGAGCUGCUUCAUAGCAGUGAACAUACAUGAAAAGAAAGGCUGCUCAACAUUUGAGUAAAGUGGAGAUGUUCAUGUCAGAGAUGGUUUGUCUUUCAAAACAGGCUCCACAAGGCAGCUAGAUGACAGCAGUGAUCAUGCCUCUAUUAGAAUGCAUAUUCCACUUCUCUGACCUUUUUUGAGAAAGCAGGAGUCGUGAUGACUGGGUCUAAAUUCCCUUAAAACAAAACUGAACAAAAUCUUGCUAUUCCAGAGCUCCUUCAAAAGCAAAUUUAUGCCCAAGGGGUUUUCCUGGUUAUAACUGGCCACAUUUCACAGAUGCAACAAAACAGCAAAGCCAAAUCUUUAAUCAGGCUUCACCCAAAAAAAGUAAUUCCAAACUAGAAAAAACAGGUUACUGCAUCAAUCAUUUUUUUGUCCAUAUUUCUCUAAGGGCAGUAGGAAAAAUCAGCAGACGACAUUUAUCCUGAAAAUCAUGCAUUUUUGUCCAUUUUUCUAUAAGUGCAGUAGGAAAAAAUCAGCAGACGACAAUUAUACUGACAAUCAUGCAUUUGUCCUAAGCCACUCAAAGUGACAGUUCAUGGACUAGCAUGAGGCAUUUGCUGCUGGUCUGUAGCAAGUUUCUGGGAGUGAAAGAAAUGGUAGUGGCCAAUGGUCACAGAUAUAGUGCCCAAUCCCUGGGGCAUGGGGGUAGACCACUAAACCUGACAACAUGAAUCUUAAUUAAGAACCAUAUCCCUUUCUUUCUCUACUUGGCCUGUCUUGUUUGCAGUACUAGGAAGCAAAGAAAACACAAUUCACCACCUAAGGACUUUUUUAAGUGGGUGAAGCAAGAGUCCACAUUACCUUUUGGACUGCAACUUUCAAAAUCAUCCAGCCACACUAGGCAAGAUGUUUUGAGUAUUGUAUUUGUACAAUUUACCAUUUCAAACUUCUGUCUAGCAAGGCAUGAUUCUCCCCUUGGGAAGAUCCUGCAGUAACCAGGGUUGACAGAGCCUCCAUCCCUCCAAAUCUGACUAACCUUUGCUAGCAAUGACUAUAAAGCAUAUGAAACCUGCAAAAUUAUCUUGUGAUGCAACUUCAGCCACACACAAAAGGGAAGCGUUUACGGAAUGACUCAUUUUAUUAAGGAAGCACAAGGAUGCUUUUGUUUCUGAUACCUUUCAUGUUAUAGUUCUCAAGAGAACUACAUUUUGUUCCAUGCUGCAAUUUGGUAACCACUGAUAAUUUGCUCCACGGAUGCCUGAGGCAGAUUUGCAUCACUAUGGGAAUGCUAACAAGGUUGUUUAAAUGUAACUGGCUGCUUUGGCAAUUUUUACUUUUAGCUUAUUCUUUUAUGGUGUUACAGAAAAUCCCUGAUCUUGAAUGAUGCCUGAAGUGAUCUUGAAUGGCCUUUUCAGAUGGCAACACACUUAGUUUUCAUAUGUGGUUUUGAAUAUUUUUCAACUCACACCUAUGUAGGGAGAAAUGCCAUGUCUGAAACCACUUCUGCAUGUUGCCAAUCAAGUUAGAAAAGGGAUGUACAGAGAUAUGUUCGUUGUACAUCCCAUGUAAAGGCAGUUCUUCACCUUUAGUUUUUAUUUUGUCUUUAAGACUCAAUUAACAAAAAUAAUCUUACCAAAUUGAAUGUAAAAAGGAAAAGAAGCUGGGGAACAUCUGAUGGCAACUGCAGAACGCUGAAGACGCAUCUCAUGAUUAUUGUUUUAUUAGUUUAAAAGUCCAAAAAUGAUGUUAGGACUUUUUGAUUUUGUCAAACCUGAACUCAUCUUAGAUAAGUAAGACUUUAUUGUAUCAGUACAGUUGGUCCUUCACAUUUGCAGGCUUAAAUUUUGCAGUUUUGAUUAUUCAUAGAUUCAUAUGCUCUCUAUGAACUAGUUGCUAGUUGUUAGACUAUCUUGCCAGAACAAAUAACAACAACAAGAGCAGAAGCAGAGGCAUAAUACUGUUGCUCAGAUGAUCCAUUGGAACUUGUGUUACAAAUACCAUCUGCCUGUGACAAAGAACUGGUGGGAUUACAAGACUGAAAAAGUUACAGAAAAUGAAUAUGUCAAACUACUCUGGGACUUUCGAAUUCAGACUGACAGAGUUUUGGAGCACAAUACUCCUGGCCGUGUUGAAAAAACAAAGCAUGGUUUGUCGAUGUUGCAAUCCCAUGUGACAGCAGAAUUGACAAGAAACAACUGGAAAAUCUUAUACAAUACAAGGAUUUAAAGACUGAACUACAAAGACUCUAGUACAAACCAGUAAAGUUGGUCCCAGUAGUGAUCAGCACACUGGGUGCUGUGCCUAAAGACCUUGGCCAGUACUUGAAAACAAUCGGCACUGACAAAAUUACCAUCUAUCAUCUGCAAAAGGCCACCCUACUCUGAUCUGCACACAUUAUUUGCCGAUAUAUUACAUAGUCCCAUUACAUUACAUUGAGAAGUGUCCAACGUGUGAUUCAAUACAACAGCCAGUAUAGUGAUUUUGUUUGCUGUGUACUAAUCUUGUUGUGUAUCGAUUAAUAAUUUUAUUUCUUACCUCUCCUCACGGCUCAAGACAGGUUACAACAUUGCUAAAACACAUAAUCAAAACACAUAAUCAAUGUAGAAUACACAUAUUAAAGCAUAUUUCCAUAAAAUACAUAUUAAAUUACACAAAACAAUUAGACACUGUAUGGAAGUUUAAAAUUCAUCAUUAGAACUGUCUUGGUAGGCCUGCCAAAAGAGAUAGGACUUAACUUGUAUCUAGCUGUCGGAGCUCUACCAGCAGGUCAUUCCAGAAUCUUGGGGCAGCCAAUAAAAUGGUCCUCUGGGUGGUGGUUGCCAGUCAGGUUCUGGGAGGCUGGAGCAGAGGAACUAAAUAUUCAGGGCAGAUUGUAUAGGAGAAGGCAAUCCUGUUGGUAACUGGGACCCAAACUAUGUAGGGCUUUAAAGGUCAAUAACAACACCUUAUACUUUGCCCAAAAAUGAACUGGCAGCCAGUAGAGUGACUUUAGGAUAGGAGUGAUAUACUCACUCCCGGGUGUUCCUGUAACCAAUCUGGCUGUUGUAUUUUGAACCAACUGGAGUUUCCGAACUUAGUACAAAGGUAGCCCAAUGAGGUUACUGGUGCGUGCACUACCAUCUUUAGGUCCUUUGAAUCUAGGAAGUGGUAGAAACUGGCAUAUCACCCAAAGCUGAUAAUAAUCUCUUCUGACCAUCACAUUUACCUGGGCUAGCAUUUGGAGAGAUGGAUCCAGGAGCACUCCCAAGCUGCGAGCACAA
rnacentral:lncRNA from 1 species